rnacentral:rRNA from 1 species
UACGUAGGGUGCGAGCGUUAAUCGGAAUUACUGGGCGUAAAGCGUGCGCAGGCGGUUCGUUGUGUCGGCGGUGAAAGCCCCGGGCUCAACCUGGGAAUGGCCGUUGAAACUGGCGAACUGGAGUGUGGCAGAGGGGGGUGGAAUUCCGCGUGUAGCAGUGAAAUGCGUAGAGAUGCGGAGGAACACCGAUGGCGAAGGCAGCCCCCUGGGCUAACACUGACGCUCAGGCACGAAAGCGUGGGGAGCGAACAGG